UUUUCCUGCGCGUGCGUGCAGCUCCCGUGCUCAGCCGCGGGGCUGGAGGGGCCAUGGGGACUCUGGGCCCGAGGGUCCAUAGGUGACAUUAUCAGUCGAUAGGCGUUUAUUCUACUGUUUGAGGAAAACAAACAGGGGUGCAGCUUAGGUGAAAAGAGAAACAGCUUAUUGCCAGUGUCUAAACUAACAACGGAAUGUGUCUGGGAGCGUGUGUAUGGAUACACGUGUACUUUAGAGCAGCCCCGCCUGUGUGCAGAGCUCUUGGUCUAAGUCAGCGCUUCACGGGAGCUAUCGCACUUUAAGCCUCAAAACAACUUUAUGAGGUCUGUGAAGUGUCAGACCUCAAGAUGGACAACAGCUGUUUCAUUAGAUACAGCAUCUAGUUCUCCAGUCAUAAACCUGUACAACAUUCACUGAAAUUUGUUGGUAAUGUGAUGAGUUCUUCCCACAUAUUCACCCAUUUACAUUCCCUUUUUAAAGUACAAGUGUGUCUUUUAUUUCAGAUAUUGAUAAUAUCUUUGUUCUGUGAAGUAACUUUGAUAGUCUUUCCUCAUAACUAAAUUGAUAAAACAAUGAUACAAUCCUCCUCAGAAGGAACUUAAAUGGUUCAUAAGUAUAUGCUUUAGUUAAUUAGGUAUCAGUUUAUAAGUAGUUCUUUAUUAUACAUAAAUAUUUUGGGAGGACCCUUUAAAAGUCAUCAAAGGAAAAAAAAAAAAAACUACUUUUAGAGUAGCUUCUUUUAGAGUAGUUUGUUUUUAUGGUAUAUCCAUGUUAGUUAUAUGGGAGGAAAUUUACACAUGGAUCAGGAGAUAUACUUCUGUUUGGGGAAAUUUGCUUUGCAUGGUUUUGAGCCCUAGUUUCUGAAAGUGACUUAGGACAGAUGCAUACAUAUUUUCAACUCUGAUUCUGUUAGGAUUUUUCUCUACGUGAGAAAUUGUUUUGCUUCUGUGUUCUUGGCCACAGAUUGUAGGACUGAAUUAAAAUUCAUUUACAGUUAUUAAUGGUAAUAUUUACUAACGAAGUAUGAAUUACCCUGCUCCCAACCCAUUACAAUAAGGAUACUUGGAAAGGCAUACACCCAUUUGUUUCAGUUAUCUACCUUCUAAAUAAUUAGUGUGAAAGUGUUGACCUUAAAUGAUAUAUUAAAUAUAGUGUUCUGAAAUAUUGUUUUAAAAUAAUUUAAAUUUUCUUAGUAAAGGAAAGUUAGCCUAUUCAUGUUUGGAAUCAUAGACUUUAUUAGUUAAAGCACACCUAUUUGUAAUUGCGCCCUGGAGCUGCUGAGAACAAAUUCAUUCCCAUCUAUAUGUGAUAACCCUUUAAGUAUGACCAUUAGUAUUUUCAACCAUGAGGACAACUGAACCUCGACUCUCCAAAUAUCCAUAGUUUCUUUAGUGGCUUAUGAUUUUAAACACUUCAUACUCUUGGUUCCCUUUUCUGGUUAUUCUCCAGUUUAACAGAGCCCAUCUCAAAAAGUGACACCCCAAAUGGUAGAUCAUGUACCAUAUGGCCUGAAAUACACAGGUGUUGGUUAACUUUUUGUCUAGCCAUUAAAAUGUGUGUAUUUAAGGAACAAUUUAAAUAAUAUAAAAGACUGGUAAAUAAUAAAAAUGGGUAUAUUCUUGACUCUGUGUCAAAGGAAAAUUGAAGGGAUUUCAUAAUAAACAAACUUCACAUUGAGUGAAGUGGUAAAGAAACUGCAGGAGACACAGGAGAUGUGGGUUUGAUCCAUGGGUCAGGAAGAUCCCCUAGAGGAGGAAACAGCAACCCACUUCAGUAUUCUUGUCUGGAAAGUCCCACGGACAGAGGGACCUGGUGGACUACAGUCCAUGGGGUUGCAAAGUGUCAGACACGACGGAGUAGGCACACACGAUAAACAAACUUUACGAUGAGUAAAAAACAUUUAAUGGCUUUCUCAGAGGCUUUCUUGACUUGGAAAGAACCUUUUCCUAGAAGUUGAGGAGGACAAGAAUCUAUUGACAUUCAUUUCUUACUCAUUUCUAGUAAACAGAAGUCAAAUUGGAACUCUCUGGGCUCUAGGAGAUAUGACUUGAGGCCAUGUGACCAGUUCAGCUUCAUGCUACAUUUCUAUUAUUGAUAUGUAAAAAAUUAUUUCUUGUAGAAGAAAUAUAUAGGGAAAUAAGGAGAAUAAAAUACCUCACGUUCUCUUUUGGCAAAGAAAUGCUUAUGUGUUUUAAACAAAUUAACUUUUUAAGGCAGCUCUGAAGAAGUAAUUUAUUUUAAAUAGGUGAACAGUUUAUAGCUCUUAUGGGAAUACUUUUCCCUUACUUUUCUUCAUCGUAGGAUUAGGCCCUAUGUUUUUAAUUUAAGUCCUUUAAUUUUUGCUGUUAACAUUUAAUUUACUUGAUGACCCCAUACUGUUAACUUUUGACCCAGUGAACUUAGAUGGUAUAUGCAGACCACAUAGCUAAUUUUAAAGAAACCCUUAAAGAAAAAUAAUGUUUGAAGUGAAACAGAAGAUUAAAUUCAUUUCAAUGUUCAUGUAGAGGAGUAGCACACAUAUACUUAACCAAAGAACUUUUUUCCCCUUUGGAGAAUGUACUUUUAUAAACACGGGGCUUUUACAAUUAGAUGUUUAUGCUGUUGGCAAAACAACCCAAAACUGGUGUGACUUAACUGCAGUACUUCUAAUAAACUGCAAAACCACUGAUAGAGUACAGUAGAUAGGAAUCCUUUUCCUGACAAGAAAUUCUUAUAGCAUGUAGCUAAAUCUAAUGGUCCUUACACUAUCUCUACUUACACUCAGUUUCCUUUCCUAUUAUAUAAAAUUGAGAUUCCCAAAGUUUAAUCCUUAGAUGUGAAAAAUGUUAGCACAUAUCAGUUUCAGUUCAGUCACUCAAGUUGUGUCUGACUCCUUGCGACCCCAUGAACUGCAGCACACCAGGCCUCCCUGUCCAUCACCAAUUCCCGGAGCUUGCUCAAACUCAUGUCCAUCGAGUCGGUGAUGCCAUCCAACCAUCUCACCCUCUGUUGUCCCCUUCUCCUCCUGCCUUCAAUCUUUCCCAGCAUCAGGGUCUUUUCCAGUGAGCCAGUUCUUCACAUCAGGUGGCCAAAGAAUUGGAGCUUUAGCUUCAGCAUCAGUCCUUCCAGUGAAUAUUCAGGACUGAUUGCUUUUAGGAUGGACUGGUUGGAUCUCCUUGCAGUCCAAGGGACUCUCAAGAGUCUUCUCCAACACCACAGUUCAAAAGCGUCAAUUCUUUGGCACUCAGCUUUCUUUAUAGUCCAACUCUCACAUCCAUACAUGACUACUGGAAAACCAUAGCUUUGACUGGAUGGACCUUUGUCGGCCAAGUAAUGUCUCUCCUUUUCAAUAUGCUGUCUAGAUUGGUCAUAGCUUUUCUUCCAAGGAGCAAGUGUCUUUUAAUUUCAUGGCUGCAGUUGCCAUCUGCAGUGAUUUUGGAGCCCAAAAAAAUAAAGUUUCUCACUGUUUCCAUUAUUUCCCCAUCUGUUUGCCAUGAAGUGAUGGGACUGGAUGCCAUGAUCUUAGUUUUCUGAAUGUUGAGGUUUAAGCCUGCUUUUUCACUCUCCUCUUUCACUUUCAUCAAGAGGCUCUUUAGUUCUUCUUUGCUUUAGUUGUUAAUUAUAAUAAAGUUCAAGGCUUCUUCCAAAUUACUUGAUGUAAAGAUACUUUAUGUAUAACUUUUAUUUGCCCUUAAAAGUGGAUCUGCAAACUUACUUUUGAACAUUUCCUCCCUAAUUAUAAAAUAGUAUAUGAGUCCUGUUAUUUAUUGAACUGUGUAAAAUGCAGCUUAAUCAUUACUAUUGAUAAUUUCAAAUAUGUCACAUUUACUUUAUUCAAAAAUGAACAGAGAGUUAAGCAAUAACUGCUGUGUGCUAACCACCAUUAGGUACAGGGGUAUUAACAAGGCUUCUAGUAUCUGGAAGUAGUGCAAGCUAUAUAUGUUUCUAUAUAAACAUUCAUAGGGCUUCCCUGAUGGCUCAGUGGUAAAGAAUCUGCCUGCCAAUGUAGGAGACCUGGAUUUGAUUCUUGGGUUGGGAAGAUCCCCUGGAGAAGGAAAUGGCAACCUACUCCAGUAUUCUUGCCUGGGAAAUCCCAUGGACAGAGGAGCCUGGCGGACUACAGUCCAUGGGGUCGUAAAGAGUUGGAUACAGCUUAGUGACUAAAUAACAACAUAAAACCUUCAUGGUUUGCUAGUAAGAACAUGAUUGUUGUUUCACAGUGUAAAUACUAGAGGGAGUGUUCGAAAAUGUGCUUUUAUUUUAUUUUUUAAAUAAAUGGAAGUAUUUUUGUGUAGUUUUAUAGCCAUGGAGGGAAAUAAUGAGAUUUUGCCCUGGGAUGUUACGCCUGAAAUAGAGAUAAGAGUCUUGAAUGACUCCCUGGUCCCCAGUUUGGCUGUGCAGUACAGUUUUACUGGAAUAGAGACAAAUGGAGGAGGAAUGGGGCGUCUAUGUAUGUAUGUAUGUAUGUGUAAAAGUGUGAAAUGGAAAACUAGGAAGGGGGGGAUGAGAAAUUCAGUGAAGCCAUACCAAAUAUGGAAGAUUAACUGCCAGUGGGGUGUCCAUGUGGAGAAGUUCACGAGGGAGCUCAGCAUCUGCGUGUCUGAGGCUGAGGAGAAAUGCCUGGGCUGAAGGCAGAUAUCAUUAAAUAGGUGUUAGUUAAAGUCAGGGGAUGCCAUUGCUCAUAGAGAUGGAAUAUAUGGAGAAGAAAUGAGAACCAGCAUUAGUAAAUGGGCAAAUUAGGAGGAGGAAGAUAAAGAACCGAUAAGAAAUAACGGAGGAAGGGAAGGGAGCACCAACUGAGCUGUGAGCAGCCGAUGGGAGAGAAGAUUCAGAAGGAAAGAAGUCAGGAGGGUCAGACAGUAAACAUGAGUGGAAUCAAUAGAAAAACAUGAUGGCAAUUUUGUUAUUAGUAUUGUUUGCCAGAAUGUUUGCAGUGCAUGUUCAGUGUACUGAUGGUAGCAGAAUUCUGUUUGUGUUGAGUUGAAAAGUAUAUUGAAAUUGAGAGAGGUUAUAUUAAAUUUAUAUUAUUCCAAGUCUCCUCAGCUUUCUUUUUUUUUUGUCACGCCAUGCAGCUUGAGGAAUCUUAGUUCCCUGAGCAGCGAUCAAACCCAGGGACCCAGCAGUGAAAGCGCUGUGUCCUAACCACUGGACUGCCACGGAAUUUCCAAAACUUUUCAUCUCUUAUUCAAAAUAGAAUUAAAGAAUGGUAGUUGUAGGGAGGAAGUUAAAAGAUAGAGGAGGAGAUUCUACAGUGAAAAGAGUUUAACAUAAAAUGUGGGGGAGAGACAGCAGAAAGGGGAGAUUAAAAAGAGAAGGGAUUUUAAAAAAAAGGAGGGAUAAAGGUAAAGCAAGACCUUAAGAGAUGAAGAAAUAUUAAAUACUGAUACAGGAUCAACGGUGUAAGUAGAGGAACUGAGCUGGAAAAGAAAAGGAAGGAUACUUCUUCCUCUGAGAUUAGAGAGGAGACGAAGAUGGUUACAUGUAUAACUUAAAUUGUGGGACUGAAAUGGAGAUUCAUGGCUGAUACUUUUGAUUUUUUUUCUGAUAAAGGAAACAUAAAAGAUAAAUGCAUAGGUGAGUUUAAGUAAAAGUAUAAUACAUGCUAUAAGGAAUGGGAGAGGGAGCAAGGUUAUAAGCAGGAGAGAUUGAUGAGCCUGGGAAUCUAGGCUGGAUAGGAAAUGACGUGAAGGUAUGUGAAAGAUUGUGGUUUGAAGGAAAAUGGAAUAGUUGAGAACUGAGGUUAAAAUAAGGUAAGAAAGCAGGUGUUAAGGGAGUAAAUGGAGUGAGUAAAUUUCCAUGCCUGUUUGUUGCUCAUAUGUAUUUCUGAGCAAAAGGUAUUCAACUAUAAUAUACUUUAAUGACUGAAUAAGUAUUCUACUAUAGAAUAUUAGGUUGUAAAAUAAGCAGUUUCUUAUUUGGGAGUCUUUUUAUUGAUUCCUGCCAAUUUUUCUCUACUGGUAAAAGGAACAAUAAAAUAAUUAAAUUUUUGAGUUAUUUCCUUAGGGUGCAAUCUUAGAACUGGAUUUUCUGGUAGGUCUUCAUAAUGAGCCUUUUUAUUUUUGGGCUUCCCUGGUGGCUCAGAUGGUAAAGAAUCUGCCUGCAAUACAGGAGACUGGGGUUCAAUCCCUGAAUUGGGAAGAUCCCCUGGAGAUGGGAAUGACUAUCCACUCCAGUAUUCUUGCCUGGAGAAUUUCAUGGACUGAGGAGCCUGGUGGGCUACAGUCCAUGGGGUUGCAAAGAGUCAGGUGUGACUGAGCGACUAACACUUUUUCUAUCUUUAUUUUAGGCCUAUUUCUAACAGGCUUGUUUAUGUGCAUUCUUACUCUAUCCUGGAUUGGAAUCAGAAAAUUGGACAAUGUUGCAGGUUCUGACUGAUGCAGGCACAGGGACCAGCCAAAGUGAGAAAUGCUAAGUAAAAGUCCUUUUUCAUGGGAAUAGUGAUGGGUGUUUUAAAAACUUGGAAUCAAGUACACUUUUUAUGAGUACAAUAAGAAAUGAUUCAUGAGCUGAAUAACAGGAUAUAGUGGUCAAUUUAGAAAUACAUAUUCAAAUUAAAUAAAAAUCUCUAUGGAUAACCUACAUUUGUCAACAGCAUCCAAUUUUAGGAAAGGUUUUAAAAAAUCAUGAAUAAUCAUCAAAGCCACUGCUCCUCAGACUUUUCCACAAAAGUUUGGUUAAUGGCAGAGAAGAGUGAAUAACUGCCCCAAAAUCUGGGUCCCAAGAUAGAAUUUUCUUUAGUUUUGUGUUUUGUCUUUAAUUUAAAAUGAAAGUGCAUUAUAUACCAUAAGAGUCCUAUGGUUAAUAUAAAUAAAAUGCUUAUAAUUUUUUUCAAAGUCUCUGAGUAAAAUCGAUAUCUUAGAAGAUGAUCCAAGUUUAUUCUGCUUUUAACACCCUGAAAUACUGAAAGUUCCCAUUGCCUAAAGCUGGACUUGUACAGGCAAGGUUCUAGGCUAUUUCAUGGUUGUACAAUACAUUCCUUUUCAGUUCUUUCUCCUACAGUGUAGCCAAAGCUAUUUAUAGUGGUAUAUGGCAGGGAAUUGAUUGAUUAAUGCUUACCCACAUUUAAACUGAGAGUGUUACAGAAACUGAAAAUUCACAGAGUGAAAUUUCAACAGACUACACUACAAGAAAAGUUAAAGAAGUCCUUCAGACAGAAGGGAAAUGAUACCAGGUGGAAAUACAGAUUUACACAAAGGGAUGAUGAGAGCUGGAAAAGGAUUGGUUCCUGUAAGUGAAACUACUGUAUCAAGGAUUUGGAUAUUUUUGACUCCAGAAAGGUAAUAUAGUAAUAGAUGGGUGUGUAAAUUACAUUCUUAGUAACACUUAGUUAUUAGCACUUAUUUUCAGUCUCUGCCAAUCUGAUGGAAAGACCCUUUCUGUAAUUUACAUAAAGUUGCAUUUUGUUCAUACACUCAUAUUAAUAACUUUGCCAUUUUAGGGACUUGCAGUUCUUUACAGAGCCUUGCCAAGAUAUUGAAGAAAAUAUAUUUUGUUAUUGGCUUUGGCAGCAUUUAAGAUAAAUUAUAUUUUGAACACAUAGAAAGGUGAGGAAAAAGUAACACAAAAAAGGAUCCAAAUUAUUUUGCUUAAUAAAAAGUAAGAUUGUAUUUAAUUUUCUUUUUUUUUUUAGAAACAGGAAAGUUUUAUUAUGAUCGUUUAAAAAGCUUAAUAGAUAUAUAAAUUGAUUUUCCAUUAUAGAAAUGGAGAAUACUGCUUCUUUUUACAUUUCCAUUAAAUAUAUAUGCAAUCAAUUAUUUCUUGGGCACAAAGGAAGUGCAACACAGUACAAGAAAGGAAAAAUUGUACAGGCCAUAUUCUGACCACAAAACAAUGCUCUGUGAUGACCUAGAUGGCUGGGAUUGGAGGUAGGGGUGGGGUGGAGGGAGGUCCAAGAGGGAAGAGACACAUGUAGUCUUCAAUUCUUAAUGUAGUAGUAGAGCAUUAUUACUAUCAACCAGCAACAUCGUAUUUAUGGAAAUCACAUUGAAUUUAUUGCUUAAGGUGCCAUUUUUACUAUAGAACUUUUCAGAAUGCUUUGAAAUACUUAGUCUAUAAGGUUAAGAAAAACAUUCACUGGAUAACUACUUUGAAAAAAUUUCCACAACCCUGCCUUCAUUCAAGAGGCCUAGAAACAGACGGCUCACUUCCAACUUCCUUACUUGUUAUCUUUGCUAUGAAGUCAUUCUAUAGAUAGGUUAAUAAGCAUUCUGGCAUACAGCAAAAUUGCAUCUGUAAAACUAUAUGGCACAGUUUGGCUGGGGUUGUUC